rnacentral:lncRNA from 1 species
AAAAAACCCACAGAAGAAGCCUCUGUAAGACAAGAACCCACAGAACCCACAGAACCCACAGAAGAAGAAGCCUCUGUGGGAGAAGAACCCACAGAACCCACAGAAGAAGAACCCCCUGUGGGAGAAGAACCCACAGAACCCACAGAAGAAGAACCCUCUGUGGGACAAGAACCCACAGAACCCACAGAAGAAGCCUCUGCGGGAGAAGAACCCUCUGUGACAGAAGAACCCACAGAAGAAGCCUCUGUGGGAGAAGAACCCUCUGUGGGAGAAGAACCCACAGAACCCACAGAAGAAGAACCCUCUGUGGGAGAAGAACCCUCUGUGAGAGAAAAACCCACAGAAGAAGCCUCUGUGGGAGAAGAACCCUCUGUGGGACAAGAACCAACAGAACCCACAGAAGAAGAACCCUCUGUGGGAGAAGAACCCUCUGUGAGAGAAAAACCCACAGAAGAAGCCUCUGUGGGAGAAGAACCCUCUGUGGGACAAGAACCCACAGAACCCACAGAAGAAGAAGCCUCUGUGGGAGAAGAACCCACAGAACCCACAGAAGAAGAACCCUCUGUGGGAAAUGAACCCACAGAACCCACAGAAGAAGCCUCUGUGGGAGAAGAACCCUCUGUGGGACAAGAACCCACAGAACCCACAGAAGAAGCCUCUGCGGGAGAAGAACCCUCUGUGAGAGAAGAACCCACAGAAGAAGCCUCUGUGGGAGAAGAACCCUCUGUGGGACAAGAACCCACAGAACCCACAGAAGAAGAACCCUCUGUGGGAGAAGAACCCUCUGUGAGAGAAAAACCCACAGAAGAAGCCUCUGUGGGACAAGAACCCACAGAACCCACAGAAGAAGAAGCCUCUGUGGGAGAAGAACCCACAGAAGAAGCCUCUGUAAGACAAGAACCCACAGAACCCACAGAAGAAGCCUCUGCGGGAGAAGAACCCUCUGUGGGAGAAGAACCCACAGAACCCACAGAACCCACAGAAGAAGAACCCUCUGUGGGAGAAGAACCCUCUGUGGGAGAAGAACCCACAGAAGAAGCCUCUGUAAGACAAGAACCCACAGAACCCACAGAAGAAGAACCCCCUGUGGGAGAAGAACCCACAGAACCCACAGAAGAGGCCCGUGUUUGUGGGCUCAGGAGCGAUGAAGGAUGGGAACCCGUGUCAGGACAGGAAGCUGUGAGCCAGCUGUUUGCUGCCAUGUUGGACCAGUGGUGA